rnacentral:rRNA from 1 species
AGAGUUUGAUCCUGGCUCAGAACGAACGCUGGCGGCGUGGAUAAGACAUGCAAGUCGAACGCUAAUUAGAGGGUAGCAAUAUUCUCUGGUUGGAGUGGCGCAAGGGUGCGUAACACGUGGGUAAUCUGCCGUGAAGCCUGGGAUAACUCGCUGAAAGGCGAGCUAAUACCGGAUGUGAUUGCUGGGGAGCAUUUUCUGGCAAUGGAAGCUGGGGACCGAAAGGCCUGGCGCUUUACGAUGAGCCCGCGGCCUAUCAGCUAGUUGGUGAGGUAACGGCUCACCAAGGCUAAGACGGGUAGCUGGUCUGAGAGGACGACCAGCCACACUGGAACUGAGACACGGUCCAGACACCUACGGGUGGCAGCAGUCGAGAAUUUUUCACAAUGGGCGCAAGCCUGAUGGAGCGACGCCGCGUGGGGGAUGAAGGGUUUCGAUCCGUAAACCCCUGUCAUUUGCGAACAAACCUUGAUGGAUAACACCCAUCAAGCUGAUUGUAGCGGAAGAGGAAGGGACGGCUAACUCUGUGCCAGCAGCCGCGGUAAUACAGAGGUCCCAAGCGUUGUUCGGAUUCACUGGGCGUAAAGGGUGCGUAGGUGGCCAGGUAAGUUUGGUGUGAAAGCUCGGAGCUCAACUCCGAAAAGUCAUUGAAUACUAUCUGGCUGGAGGGUCGGAGGGGAGACUGGAAUUCUCGGUGUAGCAGUGAAAUGCGUAGAUAUCGAGAGGAACACCAGUGGCGAAGGCGAGUCUCUGGACGACUCCUGACACUGAGGCACGAAAGCUAGGGGAGCAAACAGGAUUAGAUACCCUAGUAGUCC